rnacentral:tRNA from 1 species
GCACCGUUGGCUGAUCGGAAUAGGCAAUCGACUCAUAAUCGAUAGAAGAUAGGUUCAAUUCCUAUACGGUGCA